rnacentral:pre_miRNA from 1 species
GCAUCAACCGGGGAUUGUCCUUUGGUGUACUUCCAUAGUGCANACAGGGAUAAUCGCCGGCUGAUGU